UACAGAGGUCUCAAGCGUUUGUUCGGAUUCAUUGGGCGUAAAGGGUGCGUAGGCGGCGCGGUAAGUCGGGUGUGAAAUCUUGGAGCUUAACUCCGAAACUGCAUUCGAUACUGCCGUGCUUGAGGACUGGAGAGGAGACUGGAAUUUACGGUGUAGCGGUGAAAUGCGUAGAUAUCGUAAGGAAGACCAGUGGCGAAGGCGGGUCUCUGGACAGUUCCUGACGCUGAGGCACGAAGGUCAGGGGGAGCAAAACGGGG
rnacentral:rRNA from 1 species